AUGCCGCUCGGUAGCGUGGAGUCACACCUCUUCUCACGGGUGAUGGCGCCCCUGGCGUGGGCGACGAGGAUGAAGAUCACGCUGGGCGUGGUGAGGGGCCUGGCUUUCCUCCAUGAGGCCGAGAAGCCCGUCAUCUACCGCGAUUUCAAGACCUCCAACAUCCUCCUCGACCAUGACUUCAACGCCAAGCUCUCCGACUUCGGCCUCGCCAAGGAUGGCCCCGUCGGCGACAUAUCCCACGUCUCCACCCGCAUCAUGGGCACCUACGGUUACGCCGCCCCAGAGUACAUCAUGACAGCGAUUAGGGCACCUGACGGCGAUGAGCGACGUGUACAGCUACGGGGUGGUGCUGUUGGAGCUGGUUACGGGGCGCAAGUCACUGGACAAGUGUUGGCCGAUGCGGGAGCAGACGCUGGCGGACUGGGCGUUGCCGAUGCUGAUGCACAAGAAGUAGGUGUUGGGGAUCCUAGACCCAAGGCUCGGCUCCGACGACUACCCCGUCAGGUCCGUGCAGAAGGCGGCCAUGCUCGCGUACCACUGCCUCAGCAGCAACCCCAAGGCGCGGCCGCUCAUGCGCGACAUCGUCGCCUCCCUCGAGCCGCUGCAGCAACUGGAGCUCGUGCCCGCCAACUUGUGAUCCUCAUUUCAAGUUUUAGUCCAGGCCUUGCUGGUGUUGUCAGAUCCAUCGCCUCUACUUCAGCUCAUAGAAGCAGACUAGAAUUCAUGUGA
rnacentral:rRNA from 1 species